AGUGAACGCUGGCGGUAGGCCUAACACAUGCAAGUCGAACGGCAGCACAGUAAGAGCUUGCUCUUACGGGUGGCGAGUGGCGGACGGGUGAGGAAUACAUCGGAAUCUACUUUUUCGUGGGGGAUAACGUAGGGAAACUUACGCUAAUACCGCAUACGACCUACGGGUGAAAGCAGGGGAUCCUCGGACCUUGCGCGAUUGAAUGAGCCGAUGUCGGAUUAGCUAGUUGGCGGGGUAAAGGCCCACCAAGGCGACGAUCCGUAGCUGGUCUGAGAGGAUGAUCAGCCACACUGGAACUGAGACACGGUCCAGACUCCUACGGGAGGCAGCAGUGGAGAAUAUUGGACAAUGGGCGCAAGCCUGAUCCAGCCAUACCGCGUGGGUGAAGAAGGCCUUCGGGUUGUAAAGCCCUUUUGUUGGGAAAGAAAAGCAGCAGGUUAAUACCCCGCUGUUCUGACGGUACCCAAAGAAUAAGCACCGGCUAACUUCGUG
rnacentral:rRNA from 1 species